UUCGCCAGGGGACAACGAGCCACAGCUUAAAACCCAAAGGACUUGGCGGUGCUUUAGACCCACCUAGAGGAGCCUGUUCCAGAAUCGAUACUCCCCGUUAAACCUUACCCCCCCUUGUUCAUUUCAGUCUAUAUACCGCCGUCGUCAGUUCACCCUGUGAAGGAUUAGCAGUUAGCGAGAUCGGUCGAGCCCAAAACGUCAGGUCAAGGUGUAGCUUAUGGGGGGGGAGAGAAUGGGCUACAUUUGCUGACUCAGCAAAUACGGAUAUUGCCCUGAAAUGAGCAAUUGAAGGUGGAUUUAGCAGUAAGUGGAGAAUAGAGUGCUCCACUGAAGACGGCCCUGAAGCGCGCACAUACCGCCCGUCACUCUCCCCAAGAACUACAAUACAACAUAAAUAAUAAAAUAACGCAAACAAGGGGAGGCAAGUCGUAACAUGGUAAGUGUACCGGAAGGUGUACUUGGAAAAC
rnacentral:rRNA from 1 species